rnacentral:rRNA from 1 species
CCUACGGGAGGCAGCAGUAGGGAAUAUUGCUCAAUGGGGGAAACCCUGAUGCAGCAACGCCGCGUGGAGGAUGAAGGUUUUCGGAUUGUAAACUCCUUUUGUUAGAGAAGAUAAUGACGGUAUCUAACGAAUAAGCACCGGCUAACUCCGUGCCAGCAGCCGCGGUAAUACGGAGGGUGCAAGCGUUACUCGGAAUCACUGGGCGUAAAGAGCGCGUAGGCGGGAUAGCAAGUCAGAUGUGAAAUCCUAUGGCUUAACCAUAGAACUGCAUUUGAAACUGUUGAUCUAGAGUAUGGGAGAGGUAGGUGGAAUUCUUGGUGUAGGGGUAAAAUGCGUAGAGAUCAAGAGGAAUACUCAUUGCGAAGGCGACCUGCUAGAACAUAACUGACGCUGAUGCGCGAAAGCGUGGGGAGCAAACAGGAUUAGAUACCCCAGUAGUC